ensembl:lncRNA
UACAUUAUCUCUUGAGUGUGAGUAAUAGAGCUCUCUAUCUGUCUCUCUCCAUCACCAGGGUCUCAUUAGUGUGCCAAUCUGAAAUAUUAGUUCAUUCCUCCUCAUUCCUCCUGCUCUCGACACACAGUAUCCUGACAGCUUGAUUAUUCAAGAGCACCGGAGCGGCUUUUUCAACAGACAGACACAGAGGUUUAGUUUAGAGACAAUGCAAGAGUUGGGAAAAAUUCGGAACUGAAGAGCAGGAAUGAGAGCAAGUGGAAUUUACUGAACUACAAUUCAAAGAAUCACAUACGAUUUCUCCGAGGCAUGCGCUGGACUGCGGCCCAGAGCAAGCUAUCCACGUCCUCUCCCAUGCCUAAACAAAGAAAAAUGUUAAUAACAGGCCUCACUUGGACACUUAAGAACGCAAACGUGUGUUUUGGAUGCUAAUGGUGCGUGACUCGGUCCGAGUGUGUCACGUCCACACUCAGCACACCUGUGUUUGCACCAGAUGGAUCAUGGAAACGCA